rnacentral:rRNA from 1 species
CCUACGGGGGGCAGCAGUGGGGAAUAUUGGACAAUGGGGGGAACCCUGAUCCAGCCAUGCCGCGUGUGUGAAGAAGGCCCUCGGGUUGUAAAGCACUUUCAGUGAGGAAGAACGCCUGGUGGUUAAUACCCAUCAGGAAAGACAUCACUCACAGAAGAAGCACCGGCUAACUCCGUGCCAGCAGCCGCGGUAAUACGGAGGGUGCGAGCGUUAAUCGGAAUUACUGGGCGUAAAGCGCGCGUAGGUGGCUUGAUAAGCCGGUUGUGAAAGCCCCGGGCUCAACCUGGGAACGGCAUCCGGAACUGUCCAGCUAGAGUGCAGGCGAGGAAGGUAGAAUUCCCGGUGUAGCGGUGAAAUGCGUAGAGAUCGGGAGGAAUACCAGUGGCGAAGGCGGCCUUCUGGACUGACACUGACACUGAGGUGCGAAAGCGUGGGUAGAAAACAGGAUAAGAUACACGGGUAGUC